AGGCAGGUCGGUUGAAGAAC
rnacentral:miRNA from 1 species